rnacentral:lncRNA from 1 species
AAAAGGCUUCUGGAACAUUCUCUUGCUGACUGAUACGCAAGUGCAUCGUCACUUUAAUGGGCGGGACUUAGAGAAGGAAGAGAAGCAGGUGUGCAGAGCAGACAAAGAGCCCGAACUGAAAUCACUGCAAAGUUAAAGUUAUCUGCUUUUCUGCUCACAUUGCAUGCAGAUUAACGCAACCGAUGAUGUAUAUAGUUGUGCGUGCACAGAAAAAAACCACAACUUAUCAUCAGUAAAUGUUCGACUGAGAAAUGGAGUCUGAGUGAAUUUCUUAUAGAUGACAGUAAACAGUUCUGACCGACUGUCUGCAGGGAUUCAGAUACACCCGAAUCAGUGUUAAAUUAAAACCUCAG